UUCGCAAUGCCCGAAAGGGUGACGAAGCGACGCCGCGUGGGUGAGGAAGGCCUUCGGGUUGUAAAGCCCUGUCAGGAGUUAAGAAAUGUAAGUGCGCUAAUAUCGCAUUUAUUUGACGAAGGCUCCAAAGGAAGUCACGGCUAACUCUGUGCCAGCAGCCGCGGUAAUACAGAGGUGGCAAGCGUUGUUCGGAAUUAUUGGGCGUAAAGAGCACGUAGGUGGGUUUGUAAGUCAGAUGUGAAAGCCUUCUGUUCAACGGAAGAAUUGCAUCUGAAACUGCGAGUCUUGAGUGUAGGAGGGGAGAAUGGAACUUCUGGUGGAGCGGUGAAAUGCGUAGAUAUCAGAAGGAACGCCGGCGGCGAAAGCGAUUCUCUGGCCUAUUACCGACACUCAGUGUGCGAAAGCUAGGGGAGCAAACGGGAUUAGAUACCCCGGUAGUCCUAGCCGUAAACGAUGGGCACUAAGUAGAGGGGUUUU
rnacentral:rRNA from 1 species